rnacentral:rRNA from 1 species
GACAAACGCUGGCGGCGUGCUUAACACAUGCAAGCCGAACGGUUCUCCUUAGGGAGAAUAGUGGCGGACGGGUGAGUAACACGUAGACGACCUGCCUCGCAGUGGGGAAUAACGUCUCGAAAGAGACGCUAAUACCGCAUAAGCUCUCUGUCGUUGGGUAGAGAGGAAACUUUGGCGCAAGCCAGAGGCUAAGAGAGGGGUCUGCGGCGGAUUAGCUAGUUGGGUAGGUAACGGCUGCCCAAGGCGACGAUCCGUAGCUGGUCUGAGAGGACGGCCAGCCACACUGGGACUGAGACACGGCCCAGACUCCUACGGGAGGCAGCAGUGAGGAAUAUUCCACAAUGGGCGCAAGCCUGAUGGAGCGACGCCGCGUGAGGGAAGACGCCUUUCGGGUGUAACCUCUUUACACGGAUGACACGCUCUCUCUGAGAGGGGAGGGCGUAGGACGAGUACCGAGUGAAUAAGUCUCGGCUAACUACGU